rnacentral:lncRNA from 1 species
GAGCAUUUUACCUGAUUCCGUUUUAUUCUUCUUCUUCGCUCAGUUUCUGAUGAGAAGUUGGAGGCACAUCCAUGUGGACCAUGAGGAAUAAAAGGGGGGCCAAUUGUCCUUUCCCCCAGGAGGAGCCUGGAGUAGAAAGAUGGGGUGCCCCUCUGCUCACCCCUUGCUUCUGCAGCCUGCCCCCCCAGCCCUGUAUCACCAGCCCUAUGCUUCAUUAAGGGAGCACAAUGUGUCCCCGUGGUCGCCUGCCAGCCGGGAUGUCCUGUGUGACAGCAGAUGCAAAGAGAAUGAACAGGCGGCUGAAAAGGCUGGAGACAAAAAGAGCACAUUGUCCAGAGCUCUGAAAGGGCUGCCUGAGAGGGGACAUAUGCAUCUGAAAAAAAUACCCCAGUGAGUCUCCCCCCCGCCAGCCUCAGCCCGCCCUCACCCAAACCUUCAACUGAUACUGCACAAUGAUGUCUCCAAGCCAGGCAGGGCCAGGCCAGCUCCAGGCUGACAGCAGGCAUGGGGCGAGUGAGUGAGUGUGGAGGGAAGGGUCCCAGGCACAGGUUCCCUCAAGGAAAAUUCACCACCCCUGUAACCUGUCUGCUCUUGAAUCAUUGAAGACUGUCAUGGAAUCACAGCGUCACCUAAUCACAGAAGACUGGAGCUGGGAGCGUCUACAGAAAUCACUGGCUUAAACUCUUCAUUUGACAGGUGAAAAGGGUAGAUGACUCACAGCAGUGGACAGUAGACGCAGAGGCUGCCUGGGCACCCAGAUCUCCCACUUCCUGAUCUAGUUUGGGUGCCACAGCUACACAUCCAGAGGAUGAAGAUGGAAUUUCCAAAAGAGAUAGGUGUCCUCUCUGGACCUCUCCUUGCUUCUUUGUCAGGGGAUGGGGCCAAAACCCAACCUGGAAAGUGAUUGUGUCAUACCCAUAAGAAUCCCAGGGCUUGGUUGGAUUUCUGAGGCUGGGGGUCCAAGAAAUGGGAGAGGAAGGAAAAGCUAGCUUGCAAAUGAGCUGUUAUUUUGUGAAAGAUGACUUCAUAGUUUAGCAAAAGGGGUUCACAGGUCAAAUAUAAGACUCUAAGUUCUCUGCUCUGCUUUGUGAACUUGGGCAAUUCACGAAACUACCGUAAACCUCAGCUUCAACACUGGAAAUUCAGGACUAAUUCGUCCUAAUGCCAAUGCCAAUAUGCUUAUCAAUACCAAUUCUGGUGUCAACACUAAUGCUAGCAAUAUCUUCCCUGUCUCUCCCAGAAAGCCUCUUGAGGAUCUAAUACAUUACUAUGGGUAAAAGCUCUUUGGAGUCCACAGAGCACUGUAGAAACCAGAAUAUUACUUUCAACGUUAAAAAGCGUGGGGGAAGCUGUCAUUGCCUGUGGCCCUAAUCCUUUGUAGGAUAUUUUCUAAACCAGGAAAUGCUUCUUGACUUUGGCUUUUUGGACGAGGGGAGGAGGACUUGAUGGGAGUCAAGAUUCUUUUUAAAAUCAGUUGUAAAUUUGAAAAGACCUCUUUUUAAACAUAAUGAGCAAAGGGGCUUUCUAGAAAGCAAACUCUCCUAGGCAAGGAAGGAAUCUGUGGGAUCACCCUCCCUUUAAUCUGUCUCCAGUGAAUUUUCUGACAUGAGAAAGUUCCCCCUCCACCUGGGGCCACUUCCUCUUUUCUCCUCAGCCCCUCCCAAGGUAUCCUUAAGUGGACCCCACAGACUCAGACAGCAUCUCCCCGGGAAAUGAGCUCACCGGCUGUGUGCGAGCAGAUGUGGGGAAGUCUGUGUGGUCUCUCACAACAGCUGUUCAAAAUUCUUUUCCCCUGAAAGUUUCCAUUCUGUAUAUGGGGAGGUGGGCAGGGGGGAGGGCAGGCAGACAGGCGAGGAAAGAAUGUGAGCUCUCCACCCUGUUUUGGAGCUGUUUUGUUUCUUUGAGAUCUCAAUGUUUCAGAGACAUUGUACAUGCUGGAAGAUGUCAUAAAUGAGUUUAUUUUGUUCCAGAUGUAUGACACCAGGAUCUCCGAUUCGGAUUAUUCACAUUGUGUUGCCAUGACAACACACACACAUACACAUGCACACACAUGCUAGUGUCCCAAACUGUGCCUGGCCCUGGAGAGGAAACAAGGGGACUAAGAGAAAUACUUUUUCUUUCAAAGGAAUUUCCCAUUAUGAAGUCAAAUAACAUAUUUCCAAACCAGUUAGAAGCCUGGUCUAUGCCAUACUGCCCAGAACCCAGAGCAGAGGGAUUGCCCUUUGGACUGGGGUGGUCAGAAGAGGCUUUGUGGAAGAGGUGGGACUUGAGCUGCCUAGGGAGGAGGAACAACUUGGGCAGAAAGGCAAGAGGCAUCCUCAACAAGGUGGGAAGGGUGAACACGAUUGGGGAAGUGGGGACAAGCUGGUUCUUUUCAUCCACAUGCACCCUACACAUAUCCAGAUGUCUACUUAAUCAUUCCUGGAACCGAGAAGGCCAAUGGAGAGCCAACGGGUCUAUGCUCCAUCUCUGAACUAGGAUUGUGACAUCAUCCUUUCUCGCUUGUAAAAUUUAUUCAAGAAAAGGGUUCCAGAAUCUUCAGUAGGUUGUUCUGGAGUUUUAUGUUAUUGACAGAUCUUCUGUCAUAUUUACUUUUGAUCCCUUUGGCAGCCUGGUGUUCACAACCUAAAAGCAGAUCUUAAACUUAUGGAACCCAAGACCCCAAAGAGUUACUAUAGGCUGAAAGGGCCUCACUCAGCAAACACUAUUGAACACCUACUGUGUGCCAGGCUACGUCAGGCUGUAGGAAUUCAGACGUAAAUUAGGGCGCUCCUGCCUUCAAGAUGCAGUGUGGCAAAUAAUUAGGCAUAAUUUCAGAAAGUCGAUGAUAAAAUGUAGGCCAAAAACUACACAAGAAAAAGUUACUCUGCUUGGAGGUUGGGGAUGUUAAGAAAGGUCUGACAAAGGAGGUUAUAUUUGUGCUGGGUUUUGAAGGAUGAAUAGGGGUUUGCCAGGUAGACAAGGGAGAAAAUGGCAUUCUGGGUGCAGGAGUCAGUAGGUGCAACUGGGUGAAGAGAUGGAUAAGGAUCCUCUUCUUUCCUCUGGGAACUUGCUCUCACACUUAACAUGUAGUCAAUUAGCAUACACCAAAAGAAUAAUUAAUAAAUGCAGAAAUCACCUAGCACUUCACAGGGAAUAUGAAGACCUUCUAGGUGGACCCAAGACAGAAUACCUGAGACUAAUACCAAAUGUGUGGGUUUCUAGCAGUGUGCCCAGGAUAUUGAGGGCACUGGAUCAUUCCAUUAUUCAUAGACCACCCUGAGCAAAGGGACACCAAGCUGAGCUCAUAGAUGCUUUAGCUAUUUCCAUGAAAGCCAGACACCAAGAGGAGGGAAUGCAGGUUUGAUGUGAUGAAAAAGAGUCACAUCUGUCUACGUGUGUCCCUUGAUCUGUUCUCAAGUGUUUUGGUUAUAGCAUCUAAGUUUGUUUUCUCAACCUCACUGGGCUGAAGAGCAAUACUAUAUGAUGGUAUUUGUUAUUGCAAUAGGAAUAGUAAUGAUGGAAACUUACUAAACUCUGUUCAGAACACUUUGCAUUUAUGAGCUCACUUAAUCCUCACAAUUCUGUGAGGUAAGAGCGAUGAAAGACAAGGACACUGAAGAGUCGGGUCAAGCAACCUGCCCGGGCCCGGGACACACAGCUGCUGAUUACAGAGGCUGGAGUUGAACCUGGGCAGUGCCGUUGCAGAGCCUCUCUGUCUUCUUCCAAGGAUGAAGGGCAAAUCAGAACUCUUCCUCUACCGUCUUUAUGCCCAUUUACUGAGUUUCUUAUAAUAAAGAUUAUUGUUAUUAUUAUAACCACCUUUCAGUGUUUCUAUCUUACCCUCACAUCUUCACUUUUCCCCUAAUCUCAAGAUAGAGUGGAGGGGAAGAAGGGGUACAGAAAACAUAGACAUUGGAGCUAGGAUAGAGUAGUAAGGAUCCCAUAUUAUUUGGUGAGUUUUUAAAUAUUCUUUUUUCUCAACUCUUAUUUUAGAAUCAGGGGGUACAUGUGCAGG